GUUUCAGCAGCCGCGGUAAUACGUAGGAUGCAAGCGUUGUCCGGAAUUAUUGGGCGUAAAGAGCGCGCAGGCGGUUUGACAAGUCAGAUGUGAAAGAGGCCGGCUUAACCGGCAAGGGUCAUUUGAAACUGUCAGACUAGAGUACAGCAGAGGAUAGCGGAAUUCCCGGUGUAGUGGUGAAAUGCGUAGAUAUCGGGAGGAACACCAGUGGCGAAGGCGGCUAUCUGGGCUGAAACUGACGCUGAGGCGCGAAGGCUAGGGUAGCAAACAGGAUUAGAAACCCCCGUAGUCC
rnacentral:rRNA from 1 species